AUGGACGUGGGCCUGAUCCUAACGAUGGUGCAACUGAUCGCAAAGGCCGCGGAUACGGCACAGCAGAACAAGAAGAAGUGCUGGGAGCUCGCCCAACGCGUGUGCACUCUGGCCAACGUACUGCCCAACUACACAUACCCGGCGGCGAACGACCAGGAGACGGAGAUUGUGAUGAGGAGGCUCAAGGAGACCCUCGACGAAGCGUUGACGCUCAUCCAGUCCUGCCAGACUGUAACUGUAUUCUCCCGUAGCCGGAAGGCCGGCGAAUUAGAUGGGGUUAAUAGAAAGAUCAACGACUGCAUCACGGACCUCAAUUUCAUCAGACAAGUUCGCACAAGUCACAUAGCAGCAUCUACCUUCGCCCCACUCCCAGCUCAAACUUAUGACCACGGCUCCUACUAUCAGGCACAAGGAGGAGGAGGCGCCUCCAGCAGCGCCUGUGUUGGCUACCCCCCACCGCCUCAGCACGCACCCGUCAAUGUUCACUGGACUCCGGCUCCGUCUCCCUACCAUGCUUAUCCAGCCCCCUCGGCCUCGGGUUAUAAUCUAUCUUCCCUUUACACCCUUCCAACUGUCAACAAGAUCUUUGACAGUAUGUGUAAUGGAUUCCGCUAG
rnacentral:rRNA from 1 species